GAAGUUUUUCAGUCUCAAUCCAUGCCAACCCUUGUACUUAUUUUUCCUAAAGAUGAGUUUCAGAGUUAUGUAAUAAUGAACUUCAUCCUUUUGUACAAAUUAAACCAGGAGUCAUAAAGCAGGAGGUAAAUGAAAAACUGGGUUAAACAAACAAAAAAAAAGAAAACCACACAACUGACCAAAUCUAUAGCAGGCUCAGCUUUUUUUGAGAGCGAGAGAUUAAGGGGCAUGCAGUCAACUGGUAUGAAGGUCACCAAACAAAAUGUUGCAAUCUUAAAGUGCCAUUGACAUGCAGACUGUCCAGUAGCAGCUUGGAACAAUCUUCCCCUUUGCUAAUUACUACCUUAGCCCAAAUCAUUCAUACAUGACAAGGGUAUGCUACAUUUACAGUAAAACAUUUUAAAAAGUAGGAACAUUCUUUUCUUUACAUUGAAAUAAAAAUCCUGAAUAUAACUUUUAAAAAUUAUAUUCUCAUUCCCAGUUUUUUGUUAAAGUGACCCGAAAGCUCAAAACGUCCACCAUUGGUCUCUGCACGGUAGAUAUGGGCUUGGGCAAAUCUGUCUUUUCCUCACUCACUGCCUGCCUGCUGACCAUGUUGAAAUCACCAAAUUGUCUCAGUUGGAAAUCUUCUGAUUUUCACAGGAAAAAGCUGAAAGCCACAAGCCACCAACGACCACAGGUACCUCGCGCUUUCUAAGUCCGCGUCAGAAGGAAGCAUGCGACGCAGGGGACCUCCGCGCGUCUCCCACCUGCGGCUGACCUGCGGACCUCCUGCGGGCAGAGACAGCUCCUUGCAAAGCAAACAGCUCCCCACUCUGCAUGGAAAGGCUCAUCUACUUCCUCGGUCCACACUGCAAGCAUCAGACUCCCUGAGAGUCACUGAGAGAGUGAAUCAGACUCAGCUGAUAAGCACAGAGCUGACCUUUAAACCCCAGCCUCUAAUAGAGCACUCCGUGUUUGCUCAAGCAUUCUGGGUCAGCAGGGUCUGCAUGUACCGAGGUGGGGCAAACCCAGGAGCCCGGCUCCAGCUCUCACAUGGCCCUGACGGAACAGGGCUGGGGGCUGGGCUAGCAGAGGCCCCACACCUCCUACCCCGACUUAGAACAUGCUAUCUUGCAGAGAGAGAGGGAGAGAGAGAGGUCUUGGGAGUAUACCAGUCAGCUGACUGA
rnacentral:lncRNA from 1 species